AGUGUGAGCACGGACUUCUUGGGCGGCCGGCAGUGGCGCAGUCCCGCCUCCUGGCAGCACACAUUCGGAAAGCAAUCCAAGGUGGAGGUGCACGCCUUGGGAUGAAGGUCAAAGAUGGGCGGCGGCGGGGCUGUGCACUCCAGGUACUCUGUAACUGGAAAAGCGCAAGGCUUCGAUUGAUUUCGGUUAUCAUACGGAAAACUUUUAACUUACGAUAGUCGAAGGAUCGCUUCACUGGCACUGGAGCUGUUUCCAACUCCGGCUGCGAGGUGCGGCAGUAUCUCCUACGCCCAUCCGGGCAACAGACCCUUGGCCAGCAGUCCAUGUCUGUGGAGCACUCCUGGACGUCCCACCAGAGCUCGGCGAGCGGUCUACUCGGGCACUUGCGAGGUAUCAAGCCCAGAAUGGCUAGCAAGAGCAAUAAAUUGAAUAAUAUCUAUAGCAGCUAAGGAUUAAACCCACUUACGAGCAUGUGGAGUCUCCUCUAGCGGCUUUGGAACGCCAGAGACACAGCUGCUUGCUCCAAAGAUAUCACAGCACAGCUCAUCCCGUUGCCACACGGCACAGUCUCGAUCCGCCUUGCAGAUCUUGGGGAAUAGCUGGAACCUCACCUCGUUCUCCCGCGGACAAUCGAACCUCAAGCGCAGCUCGGCAGCCGACCUCUUGCCCUUCUCCGUUUCCCUAUCCCUGUUCUUAUCCUGGUUGUCGCGUGGGAAGUUCAAGGUGGGCAGUGCAAUGCGAAAGGGUCCAUCUGUAGUGGGUUUUUGUGUGCUAGUUGUUGUUGCGCUUCGACUAGUUGUACUCGUUCUCUGAUCCAUCGGUUUCCUAGUGGUCUUGGCCACUUUUCGUUGGCCGGACUUUUCGUCCUUGGGACUAAACUUUUUCGGCGGAUGGGCCUGCUUGGUGGGCGGACGCACUGCCACCAGACUCUGCUGGCCGAAACUCCAGAAGUUCCGAUUAAAGAAGUUGAAGCCGUUGGCCAGGCUGGGACGCGGAGCUGGGGAUUGGAUGUGGAAAGCGGGUUUACCAGUGUGCUUAAUGACCAUUAGUGUUUCUGCUCCAAAUAGCAGACAUUACACGUCAAGUAAAGCGCAGUUCCCGCCGCUCAUGAAGAGCGUUUGAUUUGGCUUUUUUGUUUUUUUUUUUUGUUUUAUACUUCUGUUUCGUUAUUAAGCCAGGCCAACAAUGGAUCAGCAAUAGCGCAGCCUGUUGGCAAACGUUUCCCACCCACUCCAUGCGCUCCAUAGACCCAACGCAAUUGUCUACUUGGCUGCUUGCAACAGCAGGUGGACGCAAGUGAAUCACCCGCGAAAACGGCCAUACUACCCAGAUCAUUACUCCCUAUGUUAACGAGAUCUUCUUCGAGAGCAAUUUGAUGGUAUAUACUUAAAAUUUCCAGCUCAUAAAAGUAGCUAAUGGAGAAGUAGCUUAAAUUUAAUUUAAUUUUAGACCCUCCCCGACCGAAAAUGGGGUGGAAUUCUAUAGCCGAGUGAUCAUGAUCACGAUCAUGCAAAUUGGCAAAGGCCUAGGCCCCAAUAAUUCGUGGCCUUGCAUACGCCUCUCCAGUUCGGACUUAGCCAAGGUCUCCUGAUGCAGCCGAAGCCGAUUCGAAAGCUCCGGUGCUCCAGUUACCUAUGCACCUAUGGCUAACUACGUUAACGAAUCCCAAACGGGUAUAUCUGGUUUUAUUCACAAUUUGUCAGAAUAAUGAAACCUGUGAAUCCAAGGCGAAACUAUUUAUCUGCAGUUUUGCAAUUAAUCUUGCAUUUACUUUUGAUUGUCCAAGUAGCUUAAUGGAUAAGCGAUCUUAACCAGGAUUGGCACCUCAGCUUAGUUCUGAUGCUAGAAACUUUGAAGUGAUCAGAUAUAAAUAUAUAUAGGUAGCUAGAUUUCUAGAUCCUAAACUAACUCAUUUAUGCAAAGGGUAUUCCACCAUCGGUACACUUUGAGUGACCUUUUCCCAGACAACUUCUUUGUCACUAUUGUGGCUGUAUUCGCAUUGCCACUUUCGAUCUUUAUGGUCGAAACCAAAAAGCUAGGUCAGUGCCAGCAUCUUAGACCAGUUUGCAUGGCUAUUCGAACAAGUUGCAGCGAUCUUAGAUCAACACUAUGUAGCCAACAUAACUAUAGCUUGUCCAGUUUAUUAUUGGACAACCAAAAUUAUCUGGGCACUCACUUGUUGUUGUCGUCGUUGUAGUUGUUGUCGAUGUGGUUGUCGUUGUGGUUGAGGUGGAUGAAGUAGUUGUUGUAGAGGAGGGCCUGCGCCGCCGCACGACCUGAGUGCGCCUUCGCUGGUUGGAUGCUCCCUUCUGCUGCUGCUGCUGCUGUCGCCUAGCCUGAUCCGCGCCUGAAACCGCGACAGAUUCGUGGUCUGGCAAUGGAGCAGGGAGCGGGAGCUUGUAUUGUGCAACUCCGCGGCUUGUGGAUGCCUUGGCGGCCGUUGCACAACCGUUUGCCAGAUAGAGAGCAACCCCAGCAGCCAGGAGCUGCAGCCAGAUCAAUCUCAUUGCGAGUGGGGAUCACUUGAGUGGUCGAUGAGCCACUGACCUUUCGUUGGAAUCACUACAGUUUAUAUCACACACUCACUACUAAUCACACAUCUUGGUUAGGCAAGCGCGACUACGUUGUUUAGACACCAAGCGACCGCUUCAGACUCCCAGCCCAAUUGGCGAAUGUGCAAAAUUGCUAGCUUGAUUUUCGGCAGCGGAGCCAGCAGAAAAAAACAGCUAAGAGAGCUUAAGCGGGGGCUGACCCGCUCUUUAGCGGCUCAAACUGGUUUUUGACUCUGGCCCGGCUCUCGGAGCAAUGGGCUAUCAUUGCAAUGGGUCUCCGUGUGGAUACCACUAACCCACUAGCGUAGAAAUGAGGAAAUGCAGGCCAACAGCCAGGAGAUUGCUUCCGGCUUUCGAAAAGGACACCAUCACAAUUAAGGAGGUGAAUAAACGUUCAUUGACUGACACAUUCGCGUGGGAAUCAGGCUGGCUUACACACGGAAUUUCGUUGUCGACAAGGAGAUUGGAAGUUUGAUAGAGCUUUCUUCACUCGAAGAAAAACUGAGACCUAUUACUUAUGGUUAUUCAUUUAAGUUUAUCAAAUAUAAAAUAACUGAGCUUUAGUCAUUUUGUAAAAUCAUGAGUAAUAAUUUAUAAUCUCAUUUUGUAUUUUGUACAUAUCU
ensembl:ncRNA asRNA:CR31514 antisense RNA:CR31514